GCAGACACAUUCCAGCCAAUCAGCAGCAGACCCUCCCUCCCAGACCCUCCCACCUCCUGGACAGCAUCCAUUGUGAAGCUGUAUUCUUAGUGAGCUGUCCAGGAGGUGGGAGGGUCUGGGAGGGAGGGUCUGCUGCUGAUUGGCUGGAAUGUGUCUG